GACGAACGCUGGCGGCGUGCUUAACACAUGCAAGUCGAACGGUGAAGCGCCUUCCUUUUUGGUGGGUGUGGAUGAGUGGCGAACGGGUGAGUAACACGUGAGUAACCUGCCCCCUUCUUCUGGAUAACCGCAUGAAAGUGUGGCUAAUACGGGAUAUUCUGGGUCUGUCGCAUGAUGGGUCUGGGAAAGAUAUUGUUUCGGUGGGGGAUGGGCUCGCGGCCUAUCAGCUUGUUGGUGGGGUGAUGGCCUACCAAGGCGGUGACGGGUAGCCGGCCUGAGAGGGUGGACGGUCACACUGGGACUGAGACGCGGCCCAGACUCCUACGGGAGGCAGCGGUGGGGAAGAUUGCACGAUGGGCGGAAGCCUGAUGCAGCGACGCCGCGUGAGGGAUGGAGGCCUGCGGGUUGUGAACCUCUUUCGCCAGUGAAGCAGGCCUGCCUCGUUUGUGGGUGGGUUGACGGUAGCUGGAUAAGAAGCGCCGGCUAACUACGUG
rnacentral:rRNA from 1 species